UUUCUCUCCAUGUGGAAGAAUAUAUAUGAAUCGCUGGAGGAACAUGUAUUAUUAUGGUGGACCAAAUCUUUCCUGCUUUGGCCGCUGAUCCCUAAAAUCUGCUCCUGUGAACAGCUCUUGCUCACCAGACAGCCUCGUGAUGUGUCAAGGGUAAGUGAACCUGAAACUGCAGAGGAGGUGGCCUUCAAAAGACUCCCAACUUGCAAAAUUAAGGCGAAGAAAGCAUUUGGCAUAGGAAGUUUCAGGUCUGGCCAGAUUCAGGCUUUGCAAAAAUAUCUUGGGACAUUGCACUAAAGCCAGAGCAAAGCGGCCAGGGCCUGGCUCUGGUCAUUAUAGGUUAUUUGCAGCCUGUUUCUUUCCAAAGUGAUUUUCUCCUAUCUGAAAGCUGAGGUCUUCUGACUCAGCCUGAUUCCUGCAGCUGGCGCACACAACUCCCGCCUUCACCAGCUGACAGGCAUUUGGAGACGGCCCUGGAAAGCGGCAGGAAUGUGGAGGCCCCCGUUCCAGUCCCGGCCCCCAGAAGACCCUGGCCGGCUCUCUGCAUGCUCCAGAGGCAUCCAGGGCAGUGCCAAGGGGGCGGCAGGCACGUGGGACGCAGCAAGUCAGAGUUCGCCUCCUCCCCAGGUGGGGCUCAUCCAGGCGAAGUCAUGCCCAUCAGAAGUCCAUCCUCUGUUACAGCUGUAUCCCUGUUUGCUGCUCUCUUGCAACUCACUCUGUCCCCCUGGACCUGCCCAGCGAGCAGACAACCUCUGCAACCCCUCAGUCCCUCCAGGUCAUCCGCUUCCGUGUUCACCUCUCACCCCUGCGGGUUGGAGGUCGCCUGUUGAGGACAAGUUCUCUGGAGUCUACCAAGAGGUCAGUUUCACAGGCAUGGUGGCUGGAUUCCUGAGAGAGAACCAGGUGGAAGCCAUAUUGCCUCUGUGACUGAACCUCCGAAGUCACUCAGCAUCAUUUCCAUCACAGUUACAAAUGUCCACCCAAGUUCAAGGAGAAGAAACACCGUCCCUCCCAGUUAUGGAUUACAGUAUGCAACCAUGAUGCUUUCUUUCAUGUGUCAGUUGGACUGGUCCACUUUCUUUCUGAGUGUGUCUGUGAGGAUGUUUCCAGAUGAGAUUCAUGUUUGAAUCAAUGGACUCAGAAAAGUAGAUUGCUCUCCUCCGUUUGGGUAGGAUCAUGCAAGCUGCAAUCUACUGGAGGCCUGAAUAGAACAAAAAGAGGAGGAAGGGAGGAUCCAUCCUCUUCCAUCCUGCCUGUUGAGCUGGGACAUCAGUCUCUUCUUGCCCUUGGACUAGAACUCACACCUUCGGCUCCCCUGGUUCCCAGGCCUUCAGACUCAGACUGAAUUUUACCACUGACCUUCCUUGGUCUCCAGCUUGCAGAUGGAAGAUCAUGGGACUUCUCAGCCUCCAAAAUCAUGUGAGCCAGUUUCUCAUAAUACAUCCAUCUAUAUGGAGAAAUUUAUAUAGAGAUUGUAUACAUGUGCAUAAAACUACAUAUACAUGUUGGUUCUGUUUCUCUAAUACAUAUACCCCAACAAAAUUCAUGUGUGAAAGUCUUAAUCCCCAUGCCUCAGCCUGUGACCUUAUUUGGAAAUGGGGUCUUUACAGAGCUAAUCAAGUUAAAAUGAAGUCAUUAAGGUGGGCCCUUUUUCAAACGAGUGGUGUCAUUAUAAAAUGGGGAAAUUUGAAGACAGUUAACUCACACCAGGAGAACACCACAUGAAGAUAAAGAAAUCAGAGCGAUGUUGCUACAUGCCAAGACAUGCCAAAGAGUGCCAGACAACCCGUCAGAGCUGGCAAAGAGGCAGGGAGGAGAUUCUCCUUCACAGACCUCAGAUGGCAACAAGACUGCCAAUCCCUGGAUCUCAGACAUCCAGCCUCCACAACUGAGAGACCAUAGGGUCUGUGGUUCAAGUCACCUGGUUUGUGGUACUGUCAGCCCAUAUCCUCGGAUGCAGAAUGCACAGAUGUGGAGGGCCAAGUCUGGGACUUGAGAAUAUCCUCAAAUUUUGGUGUCAUGGAGGCUCCUAGAAUCAAUCCCCUGCAGAUACCCAAGGGCAACUGUACUUUAUCAGAGCAGAGCUAGAAAACUAACCUCCACAUCAUUAUGGAGGAUCAUCAAUGUCAAAUUGUAGAAAGAGCAUGCAGAAGGGGUAGUUAGGGGUGUGCCCAUCUUUGGAAAUUGCAACCUGCCACAGCCCAACCCCUCACCAACAAAAAUUCACCUCCCUCCCACAUGCAAAAUGUACUGGUCCCCUCCUGCAAACCACCAAACCUCAUCCCAUUACAGCACCAGCUUAAAGUCCAGGAUCUGAUCAUCUAAAUCAGAUUCAGAAGGAACCAAGGCUUCUGGAGUAUAGUCAAGGAGCACAGCUCUUCUGGAUCUGAAGAGUCAUCAAUUAAAGAGACCAGUUAUCUACCCGCCCCCAGGGGCCACAUGCAGUGGGGGAACAGCUCAUGGACAUCUUCUCCUUUCAAAGUCAUCCCCAUUCUCCGAAGAGCCUGAAACCAUCAGCUCUAAAACACCAUCAAAGAUCUCCUUGCUUAAGGGACUUCCCUGGUGGGCCAGUGGUUAAGAAUCUCCCUCCCAAUGCAAGGGAUGUGGGUUCAGUCCCUGAUCGGGGAAACUGAGAUCUCACAUGCUGUAGAGCAACUAAGCUGGUGAGCCGCAACUAGAGAGCCCGUGUGCAGCAACAGAAGGCCUGGUGUGGUGCAUCAAAGAUACCACAUGCCGCAACCAAGAUCCGACACAGCCAAAUAAAUCAAUAU
ensembl:lncRNA